rnacentral:rRNA from 1 species
GAGUUUGAUCCUGGCUCAGGAUGAACGCUGGCGGCGUGCUUAACACAUGCAAGUCGAACGGAACUACUCCGAUGAGAGUCUUCGGAAAGGAUUUGGUUUAGUUUAGUGGCGGACGGGUGAGUAACGCGUGGGUAACCUGCCCUAUACAGGGGGAUAACAGUUGGAAACGACUGUUAAUACCGCAUAAGCGCACAGGAGCGCAUGCUCCGGUGUGAAAAACUCCGGUGGUAUAGGAUGGACCCGCGUCUGAUUAGCUGGUUGGCGGGGUAACGGCCCACCAAGGCGACGAUCAGUAGCCGGCCUGAGAGGGUGAACGGCCACAUUGGGACUGAGACACGGCCCAAACUCCUACGGGAGGCAGCAGUGGGGAAUAUUGCACAAUGGGGGAAACCCUGAUGCAGCGACGCCGCGUGAGCGAAGAAGUAUCUCGGUAUGUAAAGCUCUAUCAGCAGGGAAGAAAAUGACGGUACCUGACUAAGAAGCCCCGGCUAACUACGUGCCAGCAGCCGCGGUAAUACGUAGGGGGCAAGCGUUAUCCGGAUUUACUGGGUGUAAAGGGAGCGCAGGCGGCGCGGUAAGUCUGAUGUGAAAGCCCGGGGCUCAACCCCGGGACUGCAUUGGAAACUGUCGUGCU